GGCCGGGAUGGAGUCUCCGGGGAUGGAGCUACGGACGCCCUUGUCAAGGCAGAAGGGCCCGGUAGAGCAGGGCCCGGACUCCGGCUAUGGCACCGACCGAGCAGAGGCCUCCUCGUCCCCGCAGCCGUGCGAGGACUCGCAGGAGAUCGACGCGGAAGUGGUGAGACAGCUCGAGCCCGAGUUCUCUUGCUGCAGCAGCCCGGCCUCGGAAGCCGCCGUCCCGCAGAGCGAGGAGAGGCCGGCGGAGGGGCCGAGCCCCGCGGGAGAUUCGGGUCCGCCAAGGAAGGACACGUGCAGCUGUGGUCUGAACUCCAAGGUCAAGGUCUGGCAUGGUUUAAUAUAUAUGCUGCUGUUGGUUCUUGUGGCUGUUGGUAGUAUCAUGGCAAUGGUGCUUUUGAAAGGAACUCCUUCAGUGGUCUGGCAGUGUGCAGAAGAUUGGAUAGGUUUUAAUGGUAAAUGUUAUUAUUUUUCCACUAACACAAUGAGCUGGAAGGCUAGUAAAGAGUACUGCAUCUCACAUGGCUCAACACUUCCUGUGAUAAAAGAGGAACAACAACUGAUGUGGGGAGCCUUUGACCCACAGAAAAAGCAGUUGGGGACUGCACAAGAGAGAAGAAAACAACUCCUCCAAAAACCUCCAACCCUUACUGAUGUGGCUUUCAACUGACACACCUCACUACUCCGACACUCCAGCCCCACUGGGAGAAUAUCAAGCGCUUGAGAGAGACCUAUUACUAUUGGAUUGGGUUACAAAAAGAAGCAGAAAUAUGGCAGUGGGUCGACGGAUCUCUGUUUAAUAAUAAGGUCAUCCCAUUGGAAAACGAAGAUCCAGACCUGAACUGUGCAUUCCUAAACGAUGACAAACUUAUUACUAUAGAUUGCACAUCUUCAAGACACUGGAUCUGUGUCAAAGAGUUCAGCUGAGCCAAAGUCAAGAUUUGAAUUCUCUGUCAUGGAGUCAACAAAUAUUCAUAACUUGAAGAUGUUUUGGACAAAAUACCUCAAGUAACCUAUCAAUCUCAGUAUCACAGUCUGCUGGAGCUGUAUAAUUUAUUUUGGUGUAUGUAUCAUUCUUGUAUGUAAAGAGAUAUGGAGUGUGGAAUGGUUCAUGGCUUUAAAUGUGAAAAUGAAAGUCAUCAGGGUUGUUUCCCUUAAUGUCUGGGUGAUUACCUGUAAACAGCCUCUUUUGUCCUUUAAAUCUUAGCAGCCGUUGAUCUUAGUGUAGUCACAUGUCUUCCUAAUUGGUAGGGCCUGACCAGGAAUUCCAGCCUAUCAGGAAAGCUAUUUAGGAUUCAAAGUUUUCAGGCUCUUGGUUUGUGGCUGGCAUGACACUCCCAAGAGAAUUAAACCAAAGUCCCCCAGGGGCUAAAAGAUCUUCCCUGGCUUGGAGGUUUAGCUGAAAUAACAAUUUUAGGGUAAAUCUACAGUAAGCUUUAAUCGGUUAGAACUAGCUCUGCAUCUUCUGUUUAUUUUAAAUUUGUAAUUUACUUUGCUCUGCCUGUUUUUGCUUGCAACUACUUAAAUCCUAGUGUUUGCCUAACAUUCAAUGAAGGUGCCGACAGCUCUGUGUGGAUUCUUGUGUUAGUUCCCUUUGAUCCUUAUCUGCUUCCUUUCCAAUCUUCAGGUGCUUAUAGGCACCAGCUCUGCCUACUUGUUUUUCCCUUUGAUAUUUUCAUUCCCUCUGCUCCUUGUUUCCUGCCCCCUUCUCUCUUUCCUU